CGGAACGUCGUCAACGGUGUUGCGCUUGCCGUCGUGAUCGAAAUCCACCGCGAAUUUCUUGAACGCGGUGGGCAUGAACUGGGUCGCGCCGAACGCGCCGGCCCACGAGCCGCGCGCAUCUGCUGCGGCGUCAGGUCGCCGUGAUGCAAAAUCUCAAGCGCCGCGAGAAACUCGUCCUUGAAAUAACCCUGACGCCGUCCGAUGCAGGCCAGCGUCGCGGUCGAAUUCAGCACGCUGCGGUCGCCGCCCUGCGUGCCGUAGUUCGACUCGAUGCCCCAGAUCGCCGCGACGAUGUAGCGAUCGACGCCGUAGGCUUUUUCGACCGCGGCGAAGGUCGCCGCGUUUUUCGCCAGCACCUCGCGGCCGCGCGCGAUCCGCGCAUCGGUGACGAGGAUGUCGAGAUAAUCCCACACCGACUUGGUGAACUCGGGCUGCGAGUCCAUCAGGUCCAUGAUGCGCAGGUCCGGCGACAGGUCCGCCGUGAAGCGCUCGAAG
rnacentral:misc_RNA from 1 species